CUCCACAACCUCUGUGUAUAUCUACGUUAGAGAGAGAGAAACAAAACCAAACAAAACAACCACAUAUCUAGUGAGAGAGAGAAAGAGAUGCUUCAAAUGAUCUAACACAAACUUUGAGCAAAACAUCCUCACUUUCUUUAUGUGGCUUCUUAACCAACAUGUCAUUUUCUGGCACAAGGAUCUUGUUGAUCAUCAUCUUAUUGGUUCUUCAAAUAUGGCCUUUGAAUACCGGUUGUUGUAGAGUUAUUGCAACAAGAACUUCACCACCAUCACCACCACCGUUGCCACCACCACCACCACCGCAAAAAGAUUCCGAUGAGAUCAAAAGAUCCAAGCUUUACAAAAGAUUCUUCAAUGGCAGAUAUUCAAGACUCAACAACACAAAAGAUAAAAGCUUCCAAGAUGACAAAAGAAGAGUACCAAGUUGCCCGGAUCCUUUGCACAACUAAAAAAUAAGCAUUUUGGGAUGCUCUCGAUCGAGCAAAUGCAUCCCUUCCUCCAUAACGGUCAGAGUUGGAUGCAAUACCCGAGCCAUCAAGCCACCACUUUCGGGGAAAACCCGUCCGCCUGAAGGUCCACUGCG
rnacentral:lncRNA from 1 species